rnacentral:rRNA from 1 species
ACGCUCGACACCUACGGGGGCAGCAGUAGGGAAUCUUCCACAAUGGACGCAAGUCUGAUGGAGCAACGCCGCGUGAGUGAAGAAGGUUUUCGGAUCGUAAAGCUCUGUUGUUGGUGAAGAAGGAUAGAGGUAGUAACUGGCCUUUAUUUGACGGUAAUCAACCAGAAAGUCACGGCUAACUACGNGCCAGCAGCCGCGGUAAUCUGAGCGGGCUGGCAAGGC